UUGCUUUUCUGAAUCUAGUGGCGAACGGGUGAGUAACACGUAGGUAACCUGCCCAUGUGCCCGGGAUAACUUCUGGAAACGGAUGCUAAAACCGGAUAGGUAGCAGACAAGCAUUUGACUGCUAUUAAAGUGGCCUUGGCCAUGAACAUGGAUGGACCUGCGGUGCAUUAGCUGGUUGGUGAGGUAACGGCCCACCAAGGCGACGAUGCAUAGCCGGCCUGAGAGGGCGGAAGGCCCCCACAAUGGGACUGAGACACGGUCCAUACUCC
rnacentral:rRNA from 1 species